rnacentral:rRNA from 1 species
GUGAGGAAUAUUGGUCAAUGGGCGUAAGCCUGAACCAGCCAAGUCGCGUGAGGGAUGAAGGAUCUAUGGUUCGUAAACCUCUUUUAUAAGGGAAUAAAGUGCGGGACGUGUCCUGUUUUGUAUGUAUCUUAUGAAUAAGGAUCGGCUAACUCCGUGCCAGCAGCCGCGGUAAUACGGAGGAUCCGAGCGUUAUCCGGAUUUAUUGGGUUUAAAGGGUGCGUAGGCGGCCUUUUAAGUUAGCGGUGAAAGCCUGUGGCUCAACCAUAGAAUUGCCGUUGAAACUAGGAGGCUUGAGUAUGUUUGAGGCAGGCGGAAUGCGUGGUGUAGCGGUGAAAUGCAUAGAUAUCAGGCAGAACACCGAUUGCGAAGGCAGCCUGCCAAGCCAUGACUGACGCUGAUGCACGAAAGCGUGGGGAUCGAACAGG